rnacentral:rRNA from 1 species
UACGUAGGGGGCAAGCGUUGUCCGGAUUUAUUGGGCGUAAAGAGCGUGUAGGCGGCCAGACAGGUCCGUUGUGAAAACUCGAGGCUCAACCUCGAGACGUCGACGGAAACCGUCUGGCUAGAGUCCGGAAGAGGAGUGUGGAAUUCCUGGUGUAGCGGUGAAAUGCGCAGAUAUCAGGAAGAACACCUAUGGCGAAGGCAGCACUCUGGGACGGUACUGACGCUGAGACG